rnacentral:misc_RNA from 1 species
ACUGUCUAUGGCGCAUUGUCACGUAUCUCAAUAUAUAGGCCGACCCAAAUUUUUUGAAUUGAGCAAUCUAUUGAUUCUGAAGAUAAAGAAGGCCAUCAGUCUACACUGAUAUAAUUUUUUUGGAAUUUGGAAUCAAAAUAUUUAGUCUUGUUGCUAACCAAUAUGCUUUCUGUUUCAAUCGAUUAUAUUAUUUCCAUUUGUAGGUAAAAAUAGGAAAUCAAAACUAAAGAGGACGGACGAAUCUUGUUUGUUCGCUCGUGAGCUUUGUUCACUAAGCAUACGGAAUUUCAACAAUCACUAGUAUCACAUUUAUAGAGUUUGGAAUGGAAAUAAUCAGUGGUGUUGCUAAUCAAAUCCAAAGCGCAGAAUAAAGCUACUCAGGCAGUGAAGGGCCUUUGCUUUAAAAAAAUGCAGUUUCGCUUCUAAAUUAAAGUUAAUGUAAGAAAAAAUAACAAAGAGGACGAAUCUUGUUCAUUUUCCCGUAGCUUUCGGUCACUAAUUAAUAAGCAAUCAACGGAAAUAUAGCUUGGGAAAAAACGUUGGGAAUCUACCCAACAUCAGGUUAUAAGAAAACCGAUACGCUACAAUAGAGAAAUAAUCAAUAACAAGAAUAAAGUGACAAUAGGUAAGUAGCCAUAGGUAUUUAGCUACCGCGUUUUUAGGCUGCCGCCUUCUCUAUAGACCUCGGAUAUCCAAUUUACGCUUGACUAACUAGAACACCGAAACCACCACUUAGGUGACACAGACCGGCGUGAGCUCCAGUGGCACGACUAUCUACAGCACAUCCUCCACCUAUAAUGCGGAACUACUUCCCCCAUAACUACUUGCUGUGGAACACUUGUCACAAACACCGUGCGUCUUCAAAGUUGGAACUUCGAGCACUGGCUAGUGGCUACCCCAUUUACCAGGUAACCAACCUCAACACCGGAUCGGCCACUUACGUUCAACAAGUUGGUGUCAGUUUAACUGGACAGCCGACAGCCGGUCUACAGCACCACCGAGCACGCCACAAGCGUAUACCCCUUUCAAAACCAGCUACACCUGCUCAGCUAUCGUGAUCCUUCUGUUGUGUUCAUUUCUCUUGUCGUGACGUCGUUCGUGGUCCCUAAAAGGAGAAGAACAUUUCUUCAACAGCACGAAUUCUAUCACGCCCAGCAAGGAAAACACCAAGCUUCGAAACUGUUCGAUCCAUACAUGACCGCCGAUGCCAUCAAAGACAAAAUCAAAUCCCGUUUGAAAAUCAAUUGCCUCCAAGAUUGAAAUCGUUCGUCCUACUCCACAGUGAGUUCAAAAAAACAUGAAUGAAAAGGAUUCAACGCAAUCUGUCUUAUGACUACAGUACUACCUGGAACUGACACACAUGGACCGACGUUAACAGUACCAAGUUAAAGAAAUGCGCGACAUGCCCUGCUGUUGGAAGCUAGUGAUUUUCAAUACACUUUAAGUUUUAUAUCGAUAGCUAACUAAUAAAACUAUUAAUGAUCUUAA